rnacentral:tRNA from 1 species
GGAGGAAUACCCAAGAGGCCGAAGGGGCGGGCUUGGAAAGCUCGUAGUCCCUUAACCGGGAGCUAGGGUUCGAAUCCCUAUUCCUCCGCCA